CUUCAACCUCCAAGCCGAACCGAUCCGUGUCCUUUUUUCAGCCGAGCCGCCAAGCCUAAUUUGGCUCCUUCCACCUAAUUUUUGGGACGUCUUGGACCAAGUAACUGCUGCAGUGUGGGAUUUCUUCAGUAGGGGCUCGAGCAUUGCAACCUCUUUCUAGGUUAGGACCUCGUUGCUUGGAAAGCACACUUGCCUCGCGGUUAGAACUCGCCAAGUAAAUCUCCAGGUA